GUGAACGCUGGCGGUAGGCCUAACACAUGCAAGUCGAACGGCAGCACAGUAAGAGCUUGCUCUUACGGGUGGCGAGUGGCGGACGGGUGAGGAAUACAUCGGAAUCUACUUUUUCGUGGGGGAUAACGUAGGGAAACUUACGCUAAUACCGCAUACGACCUACGGGUGAAAGCAGGGGAUCUUCGGACCUUGCGCGAUUGAAUGAGCCGAUGUCGGAUUAGCUAGUUGGCGGGGUAAAGGCCCACCAAGGCGACGAUCCGUAGCUGGUCUGAGAGGAUGAUCAGCCACACUGGAACUGAGACACGGUCCAGACUCCUACGGGAGGCAGCAGUGGGGAAUAUUGGACAAUGGGCGCAAGCCUGAUCCAGCCAUACCGCGUGGGUGGAGAAGGCCUUCGGGUUGUAAAGCCCUUUUGUUGGGAAAGAAAAGCAGCAGGUUAAUACCCCGCUGUUCUGACGGUACCCAAAGAAUAAGCACCGGCUAACUUCGUG
rnacentral:rRNA from 1 species